UACAGAGGGGGGCAAGCGUUAUUCGGAAUUAUUGGGCGUAAAGGGCGCGUAGGCGGCUUUGCAAGUGGCGGGUGAAAUCCCUCGGCUUAACCGAGGAACUGCCUGCCAGACUGUGAGGCUUGAGACCGGGAGAGGUGAGUGGAAUUCCCAGUGUAGCGGUGAAAUGCGUAGAUACCAUCCAGAACCCCCGAUUGCGAAGGCAGC
rnacentral:rRNA from 1 species